CGAUUCAAGUAUAGAGUUUGAGGCUCGACAGGUCGUCUGGAUGCGGGGGCGAAUGAGACGAGAGAUGCUGGGAACGGGAGAGAGCGUGACAGGAGGUUGAGCUCUCUUCGGAGAGGCGGAGAGAGAGAGACAGGACCACGAAGAGCAGGGAAGGCUCUUCCGUGGGCAGGCAGCCAGAUAGGCCGGCUAGCUGCCCGGGCACGGGUCGCUUCCGCCGUUCAAUCAGUUUGCCCCUGCUCACAGUUCUCUCUUUUCGCCUUUUCUUUUGCUUUUUCCCCCCUUUUCCUGAGUUUCUGCCUUUCCCUCGCGAUCGCGGCGAGCCUACCGAACGUGAUUUUGAAAUUUUGGUGAUGACAAUCCGGAUUUGACCUUGACGCAAGAACCUCCGUCAAGGCUAGUGGGAACUCUGGAGGAAACAAUGAAAGUAUCUGUGCAUGGAAUAUUCGAAGAAAUGGAAAAUCCCCUUGCCAAACAAAUUAGCAAUUAACAUAUUAAUUUUUUUAAUGGAUCCUACUUGGUAGCUAUAAAAAGACGAAGAAACUAUUGAUUGAUAAUACAGCGGCAAAUCAGUGUAGAGAAUGAAGGAGACAUCCUCAAGAAUUCGUCCUUAUUUGGAUCUGGAUAAUGAAGAUAAAUAUUCAGUGGCAAAUAGCCAAGCGUCCUUGCAGGAUAGCGAAGACGAACAUCCAGAACGUGGAACUUGGACAGGAAAAUUCGACUUUCUGUUGUCUCUUCUGGGAUACAGUGUAGGUCUUGGAAAUGUCUGGAGAUUUCCGUAUCUCUGUUAUUCAAACGGCGGCGGAGCUUUUCUGAUACCAUUCACCGUAAUGCUCGUUAUAGCUGGAUUACCGCUUAUGUUUAUGGAGCUUUCUUUAGGGCAAUAUGCUAGCCUUGGACCAGUGGCGGUCUACAAACAAUUCUGUCCUCUGCUUCGCGGUUUAGGAUAUGGAAUGGUCCUCGUUAGUUCCGUUGUUAUUCUUUAUUAUAAUUUAAUCAUCGCCUGGACGUUGUAUUACAUAUUUGCUUCAGUCGUAGGUGGUUGGGAAUUGCCCUGGAGCAAAUGCGAAAAAGAAUGGAGUACCGAGGAUUGCUUUAUGCCAGACACUGCCGAGGCUUGUGUUUCCCAAAACUUUUCUUACUUUAAAGGAAAAUGUCUCAACUCAACGCAAAUGAGUGCGAUGGGCCUGAUGAUCGGAAACAUAACCAGUGCUAUCAAAAAACCGCCAGCCGAGGAGUACUUUAACAAUCAUGUUUUGGGGAUUAGUAGCGGGAUCGAAGAAACUGGAUCGAUUCGACUGCCCAUAGCGAUUAGUCUUAUUCUGGCGUGGAUUAUCGUGUUUCUUUGUCUGAGCAAAGGCGUUCAAACUUCAGGCAAAGUCGUAUACUUUACUGCGUUGUUCCCAUACGUUGUUCUGAUCGCGCUUUUCAUACGAGGAAUUUUAUUACCCGGUGCUAACGAAGGAAUAUUGUUUUAUCUAACUCCGGACUGGCGAAGACUAAUGUCUGCCAAAGUCUGGGGAGACGCAGCAGUGCAGAUAUUUUUCGCUUUGAGUCCAGCUUGGGGAGGCUUGAUCACAUUGAGUUCGUACAACAAGUUCACCAACAAUUGCUACAAAGACUCUUUAAUCGUGGCAAUCAGCAACAUUGGGACUUCAUUUUUCGCCGGCCUGGUAAUUUUCUCAGUGAUUGGUUUCCUUGCUCAUGAGCUCGAUGUGCCGGUAGCUUCAGUGGUGGAUCAAGGUGCUGGUUUGGCCUUCAUCGUUUAUCCGGAGGUUGUAGCUCGUCUACCAAUUGCGCCAGUUUGGUCACUGCUGUUUUUCAUCAUGCUGCUCACUCUAGGCCUGGAUUCGCAGUUUGUUCUCAUGGAGACUGUCACUACGGCAAUACUCGAUGGUGUCCCCACGUUGAGAAGCUACAAGGUCUGGGUUGUCCUGGGAGCCGCGGUAGUUGGUUACGCUGGUGGCAUCAUUUUUACCACCAACGCCGGCAUGUACUGGUUGCAGUUGAUGGACAAGUAUGCUGCCAACUGGUCCGUCCUGUUAAUCGCCAUAAUUGAAUGUACUCUUGUUGCGUGGAUAUAUGGAGCAGAUCGCUUUCUGGAUGACGCUCAGCAGAUGAUCGGCUCCCGAGGUCGUGUUUGGAGAUUUUUCUGGACGUGGAUGUGGAAGGUUGUCACGCCGACUGCCCUGUUCUUCAUCCUCUGCUUCAAUUGGGUGCAGUAUGAGCCGCUAAAGUACGGGGCUUACAUUUAUCCGGAAUGGGCGAAUGCAUUAAGCUGGGUCAUCAGCAUGCUUCCCGUUUGGGUGAUAAUUGGAUUAGCCAUAGAUCAGCUGAAAGUACGACGUCGACGAUCUACCUAUGAUGAUGACGAUGAUGAUGAUGACGACGACGAUGAAUUUGACAACAGCGAGAACUGUCACAAAACGGAAAAAGAAAAGAGCAAGGGUAUGAAGGGUAAAACUGUAUGGGACCGCGUAAAGAUAUUGUUGCAGCCAACAUCCGAUUGGGGCCCGGCAUCACAAAAUUCUUUGACACCAUCAAAAGCUCUGACUCACACGCCUUCACUAGGAGCUAUUGGAACGUAUGACUCGGUACGAGAUACGAUGAUUCUGGUGAACGAUCAGCCCAUGUUGGUGCAACCACCUAGCGCUGAAAAACUCCCCGGACCAUCGAUUCUUAAAAAUUCUAGUAAAACCGAGUUGAUUAGCUCGUAACAGGUGUGACACGACGUUCGUUUUGAAUUCAACGACGAAUCUUUUGAGAAACCAUGCCAAAGAUACAGUACGUUCAAUAUAAAAUGAAAUGGGCAGUGUAAAAAGGAAGAAUUCGACAUAUAUCAUCCCUUGCAGUAGGUGUAUUUGAAAGUUUUCAACAUGUAUCUCUUUUUGAUGUUGAUAAUGCAAAGACUUUCAGGGAAUAGAUUAGAUAUUUUGAAUAUGCAAAGAGAAGGAAGAAUAAUAAUGAAAAAACUAAACAGGAAAAAUUAGCAGACGUAUUAGAACUAGCAAAUUCGCGGAAGAAGUACCAGAGUAGCGAUGAAUGGCGAGGAAAAGUCACGAUUAUUUUUAUGCGAAAUAGUUCUGAUAUAAUAAGUGAUAUGUAUUCUAGCGAAAGAUUGUACCUCAGCUUGUCACAAUUACUAUUAAAAACCUGCUGAUGCCUUGUCAAUUUUUUCAAAAAAGAAUUCGUACAAGUCGAAGAAUUUGUAAAAGUAACGAGAGUGGCCUUAGUUCUGGAAAAGUAUUGUACGAGAGUACAAGUUAUGCCAAUUACCCACAGCGUGUCUUGCUCGGAAUAGUCUUUAAUCCUUCAAUAGGAUUUAAUCUUUUACUGUACGAAAUGUCAUAGAUGACAGAAAGUAAUCUCACACUUCUAUCAGUGCUUCCACUGUGAUCGAGGUAUCCUCUUGCAUCAAAAUAUCGGGCAUGUUAAGAUUUCUACCUCAUUAUGUAGCAAAUUAUAGGCAGACUAACAUUUAUAAGUCGACAAUAGACAAUUAGCAAUCAAAAAUAACUCUCGGUUUGCAAUUAGAAUCAAAAGUAAUUUAAUUACAAAAUUAUAAAUAUAGAAAUUUCCGUAACAGAAAUAAAAAUAAACGAUUACAAAGCUAAAGGUAAAAUCUGAUCUCUAAUUUCAUCUAUUGCAAAUGAAUGUUCAUAACAUUGAAUACCGCUGUGAAUAGAUCUUAUAGAUCACAUGAAUUCGAACGAGAGAGCGAAGGAAAGAAUAUACUUUUUGUAAGCCAUAUUCUGAAAUCUUGGAAAUUGGAGCCAAUGUUAAUAUCAUGAAAGUGCCGUUAGAUUGCUUUUUCUUCGGUGGGUUUCCUACCAAGCCACAGUUAAAUGUUCAGUAAUUUUAAUGUUUCUAGAGACUAUACAAAAGAUUGUCUAUGUGGCAUGGCCUCUUACAUUGAUUAUAAAUCUAUUUAUACAUGUAGCUCGCCGUCGAAAAUAAUAAGUAACAUAAUGUUCGUUAAUGGUUCACAUACCGGUUAAGUCAAAUGAUUGAACUGUCCUUGAUAAUAAGUAGAAUUAAGAGAGCAGUGACAUGUUGUGAACGAUAACAACACAGCGGUAACGUAAUUAAAAAGAAAAUAUUUAAUAUAUUUUGUUACAAAAGUAUACAUCAUUUAUUCUUCAUAUUACAUUACGUUUAUUGCGCUUUCUGCACUGUGUAUCUAUAAUUGACGUUAAAAAUUAAAAUUGAGACAGAUUUGCACUACGUUGCAAUUUGUGUUACAAUUGUGUUGAAUGCAAGAAGCUAAUAAAAAGCUAAUCGUUAAUUACCGCGUGAUGUUACAGUUCUAGCGUCACUACGAGCAACCAAUAGAGCGAGUACAAAGUAAUGUGUCCUAGUGACACAAUAGAAGGAAAAGAAACUUUCUUUUUUGAAAGAAGUCACUUUUCUUUGUAACAAAAAGAUAAGUAGAACAAAAAGCUUCUACCUGAAGCAAUCAUAGGUUCAAAGAUGAAUCUCGGGCGGAAGGAAAUGCGCUUCUCUGGGCGUACAGAUGUUGAUUGAUUCAUGCAAUUAAUAUUAGAGUAAAUACUUUCUGUGUAAAAAAAUAAUUUUAUUAUAGUACCAAAGAAGUACUAAUGUUUUAAUGUAAAACAUUUUGAACAUACUGAAUGAUAUACAAUCAAAAUACAAUAAUGCCGUGAGCAAUUGUAGACGGAAUUAGGAGAGAGUUAUAUAAAUGCAAAUGAGAUCGAAAUUAUUAUAUCGUGCAGGUUUUGAAUAGACAAAUCAGAAUAUAUGUGUUACAUAUUGUUGUAUAGUCUUAAAUAGCCUCAUGGAAGUAGAAACGAGAAGGAUUGGAUCUGCGAAAGUUAUUAUUAAUAAUAAUAGUUCAAACUAUUAUAAGAAUGACAAUUACGUGUUAACGUGUGA
rnacentral:misc_RNA from 1 species